GGACAUGAUGAGCAGGAGAAUUUGGUUGAUAGCUUGGAGGGCCGCAUGUGUGCCAGUUGCCUAUUAUUAAUAUUGUUUGGUAUCAUCUGAAGUGAUGUUCCCAGUGAGAGGCAACGUGGCAUCCAUAUUAUAUUGAGGGUGGCGGGUUCUCAGCACAUUGUGUUGCGGAUUGAGAUUUUGAUUAUUUUGAAGAUUUUGGUAUUGUGGAGUUACAUUAAUUUAUUCCUGUUAAUUAUUGUAUUAAAUACAACG